rnacentral:rRNA from 1 species
UGGGGAAUUUUGGACAAUGGGCGAAAGCCUGAUCCAGCAAUGCCGCGUGUGUGAAGAAGGCCUUCGGGUUGUAAAGCACUUUUGUCCGGAAAGAAAUCCUUGGCUCUAAUACAGUCGGGGGAUGACGGUACCGGAAGAAUGAGCACCGGCUAACUACGUGCCAGCAGCCGCGGUAAUACGUAGGGUGCAAGCGUUAAUCGGAAUUACUGGGCGUAAAGCGUGCGCAGGCGGUUUGCUAAGACCGAUGUGAAAUCCCCGGGCUCAACCUGGGAACUGCAUUGGUGACUGGCAGGCUAGAGUAUGGCAGAGGGGGGUAGAAUUCCACGUGUAGCAGUGAAAUGCGUAGAGAUGUGGAGGAAUACCGAUGGCGAAGGCAGCCCCCUGGGCCAAUACUGACGCUCAUGCACGAAAGCGUGGGGAGCAAACAGGAUUAGAUACCCUGGUAGUCCACGCCCUAAACGAUGUCAACUAGUUGUUGGGGAUUCAUUUCCUUAGUAACGUAGCUAACGCGUGAAGUUGACCGCCUGGGGAGUACGGUCGCAAGAUUAAAACUCAAAUGAAUUGACGGGGUCAUAGCUGUUUCCU